CUGACAUACUAUCGGUAGCACGGAGGCUUCUGUGCUACCAAGUUGUUUUCAAUGAUGCGGCUUCGAAAUCGAUGAUCGGCUCCGUUAGACUUGAUCUAUACUAUUAAAAGUAUUUGGAAACUAAAUUUCAUAAUUUUUCGAUAUCAUUUGGCUAGUGAUCAAAAGGUCUCAAAAUUGACAAUUUUAAUGGUAGAUUUGAUGCGUUUGUGAAUUUAACGGUGUAAAACAAUCCAAAUCUGAUGAAAUUUUUAUAGAAAUUUUUUUUCACUAUUUAGAGUAAGAUUAGUAUUUCUGAUCUUAAAUUAAAGUCUUUUAUCAUCAUUUUUUAUAAUAUAUAUAUAUAGAGCUAGGCUGGUAUACUAUCGGUAGCACAGAGGCCUCCGUGCUACCAAGUUGCUUUCAAUGAUGCGGCUUCCAAAUCGACGAUUGGCUCCGUUAGACUUAAUCUACACUAUUGAAAGUGUUUGGAAACUAACUUUCAUAAUUUUUUGGCAUCAUUUACCUAUCAAAUGAGUAGUUUAAAAAUGAACGGCUCAAAAUAAAAAUCUUAUAAAAAAUGAUGAUAAAAGACUUAAAUUUAAGAUCAGAGAUACUGAUCUUACCCUAAAUAGUGAAAAAAAAUUUCUAUAAAAAUUUCAUCAAAUUUGAAUUGUUUUACACUGUUAAAUUCACAAACGCAUCACAUUUACCAUUAAAUUUGUCAAUUUUGAGACCUUUUGAUCACUAGCCAAAUGAUGUCGAAAAACUAUGAAAUUUAGUUUCCAAUACUUUCAAUAGUCGUAAUCAAGUCGAGACGAAGCCGAUCGUCGAUUGGAAGCCGCAUCAUUGAAAACAAUUUGGUAGCACGGAGAUCUCCGUGCUACUGAUAGUAUUCCAGCCAAACUCUAUAUAUAUAUAUACAUAUAUGUAUAUAUAUACAUAUAUAUACAUGUACAUGUACAUACGCAUGUGUAUGUACAUGUACAUGUACAUACACAUGUAUAUACAUACAUGUGUACACAUGUAUAUACAUACAUGUGUAUGUACAUGUACAUGUAUAUAUAUAUAUAUAUAUAUAUAUAUAUAUAUAUAUAUAUAUAUUAGUAUAGAGUAAGGCUACUAUACUCUUAUGAGUAUUGGACCCUUCAUAUUCUUAAGUUGUUUUUGAUGAUGGGGUUUCCGAAUCGACGAUCUACUCCGUUAAAUAUGAUCUAGAGUAUUUAAAACUUCUAAAAAAUAAAUUUCGUAAUUUUUCGAAAUCAUAAUAAAGUCCAUCAAACGGGCAUCAAACGGGCAUAAAAUGAACGGUCAAAAUCGAACGACGUCCUAAAAAUAGAUGAUUGGAUCCUUCAAUUUAAGAUCGGAGUUAUUGAUCUUUAUCUAGGUAGUGAAUAGAAUUUUCUAUCAAAAAUUCAACCUAUUCCAAUUCUUUCACACCGUUAAACUAGCAAGUAUCCUAUUCCGGCCGUUAAAAAUUGUCAAUUUUGUGAGCUUUUGAUCGUAAGGUAAAUGAUGUCGAAAAAUUAUGAAAUUUGAUUUCUAGAAGUUUUCAAUGCUCUAAAUAAUGUUUAAUGGUAUGGAUCGUUGAUUCGGAAGCUCUAUAAUCGAAAACAACUUAUGAGUACGAGGGCGAUCGUACUCAUAAGAGUACAGUAGCCGGACUCUCUCUCUCUCUCUCUCUCUCUCUCUCUCUAUAUAUAUAUAUAUAUAUAUAUAUAGAAUUGAGCUGGAAUACUUAGUAGCAAACCGGCUCCAUUGCCACCUAUUUGUUUUCGAUGGUCGAGUCUCUAAAUCGACGAUCGGUACCGUUGAAUAUGAUCUAUACCACUUGAAGUAUCUAGAAAUCAAAAUUUAUGUUUUUUUCGAUAUUGUUCUCUUGUUCAUCAAGUGGACACAAAAAUGAACGGCUGAAAAUAUAUAUCCUUUAAAAAGUGAUGAUAGGAGUCCUGUAAUCAAGAUCAAGAGUAUAGAUCUUGUUCUCAAUAGUUUGAAGAGUUUUCUAACCAAAAUUCAGUUGAUUUGGACAUCUUUACGCCAUAAACAAGAAAAUGGCUUUAUAUUGACCAUUAAAAUUACAAAUUUUGAAACCCUUUGAUCAUUAGGUCAAUGAUGUCGAAAAGGCUUGAAAUUUGGUUUCUAGAUAUUUCAAAUGGUAUAGAUCAUGUUCAAGGUGCCGAUCGUCGAUUUGGAGGCUUUAUCAUCGAGAACAAAUGGGUGGCAACACAGUCGAUUUGCUACUAAUAGCAUUCCAGCUCAAUUCUCUCUCUCUCUAUCUCUCUUUAUAUAUAUAAAAGUAUACAUGAAUUUCUACAAUGACAGACGGAAUCAAAAAUGAAAUAAAAGAAUAUUCUUUACGAAUGGUUAUUAUCAAUUUGUUAAAAAGUAUCUUAAAUAAGAAUGAACAAUUAUGAUCAAUCUAUUUAAAAAUAACAUUCCUAUUAAUCUAUAAAUCAAAUCCUACGAAUAGUUAUGAUCAAUUUGUUAUAAAAUAUCUCAAAUAAAAACAAACGGUUAUGAUCAAUUUGUUAAAAAAUGGCAUUCCUAUCUAUCUAUUUUACAUUAAAAUUAAAAAUUGAGUUUAAAUCGUGAAUUAAAUUUACUUUUUUAUAUCAAAUUUGAAUUAAUAAUAAAUUUUUUUUAAUUACAGUGGAUCAAAGUUAAAUUUUAAAAUUUUAAAGUAAAUGUGAAUUAACUUUUGAUGAUUUUAGUUUAAAAUACAUACUUAAAUUUUAGAAUCAUAAAAAAUUUUUUUAAAUUUAAAUUCUUUUUAUAAAUUUUUAAAUAAAAAUGAUGCUCUUUAUUAAAUAAUUAUUAUGUACAUUUGCACGUACACUUAACUAGUAUAUAUAUAUAUAUAUAUAUAUAUAUAUAUAUAGCUAGGUUGGUAUACUAUCGGUAGCACGGAGGCCUUCGUGGUACGAAGUUGUUUUCAAUGAUGCGACUUCCAAAUUGACGAUUGGCUCUGUUAGACUUGAUCUACACUAUUAAAAGCAUUUGAAACUAAAUUUUAUAAUUUUUCGACAUCAUUUGGCUAAUGAUCAAAAGGUCUCAAAAUUGACAAUUUUAAUGGUCGAUGUGAUGCGUUUGUGAAUUUAACAGCGUAAAACAAUCCAAAUCUGAUAAAAUUUUUAUCAAAUUUUUUUUUUCACUAUUGAGAGUAAGAUCAGUACCUCUGAUCUUAAAUUCAAGUCUUUUAUCAUCAUUUUUUAUGAGAUUUUUAUUUUCAACCGUUCAUUGUUAGACUAUUCGUUUGAUAGGUAAAUGAUGUCGAAAAAUUAUGAAAUUUAGUUACAAAUACUUUCAAUAGUGUAGAUUAAGUCUAAUGGAGCCGAUUGUUGAUUUGGAAGCCGCAUAAUUGAAAACAACUUGGUAGUACAGAGGCCUCCGUGCUACGGAUAGUA
rnacentral:lncRNA from 1 species